rnacentral:lncRNA from 1 species
UAUUUAUAUGGUCUUGGGGUAAUAAAAUUCAACAUAAACUCUCACACUCAAAGCCGCUUGUUUGCUCUAAAGAAGACUUGCCAUUAAUGGAAGCCAAAGAAUUUAUCCACCUCUUUAAUUCCUGCUGGUUUGAGAUGGAAAUUCUCGAGAAUUAAUCACGCUUAUUGAAAUCAUCAGAUGCUGAUGCCAACCCAGUUCACCAAAAUCAGGAAGAAGCAUCAAAACCAGAGCUUUACAGAGUGCCAACGAUUAUUUCAAGGUCCAUGAGUGAUCAGUUGUGGCCCAAAGCAAGCUUCGGCUCUGGUUUAUCUCUCUCUCCGGACUCAGUCCUCCCCACGUCAAAGCUCCAAACAAUCCUUUUAGACAUGGAGAUAGAAGAAGACGAAAUACAAACACAAAGACCAUAUGUACAAAAAUCGCAUACGAGGAAGACGAGAAGUAGGAGACCAGAGAAGAGAACAUUGAGCAAAAGUCUAUCAGAAUUGGAAUUUGAAGAGUUGAAAGGGUUUAUGGAUUUGGGAUUUGUGUUUUCUGAGGAAGACAAGGAUUCAAGCUUAGUUUCAAUAAUUCCAGGGUUGCAAAGACUUGGAAAAAAAGAUGGCAAAGAAGAGAGUGGCGGUGUUGAUGAAGCCACAGUUUCAAGGCCAAUGCGGUCCUAGUGAAAAAAGCUAACGGAAAGUGGAGAAUGUGCAGAUUUCACUGACCUAAAUAAAGCAUAUCCAAAAGAUCAUUACCUAUUGUCGUCCAUCAACAGAUUAGUGGACUCGACCUUAAGUCAUACGGUAGUCUCUUUCCUUGAUAUUAUCUCAGGAUAUUAAUCAAAUCAUGUUGGAUACUGAGAACGCAGAAAAGAUCGCAUUUAUAACAGACAAAGGAGUUUACUGCUACAAGAUAAUCCCUUUUAAUUUAAAAAUGCAGGAGCCACGUACCAAAGGUUGGUGUCAGGGAUCUUUAAGGACAUAGUGGGAUCAACCACCGAAGUAUACUUAGACGACAUGGUGGUAAAAAACUUAUCAUUGGAAGAACACUCGGAGGAUAUUCGGAGAGCCUUUGAUGUCUUGGACAAGAUGGGCAUGAAACUGAACCCGGAAAAGUGUACCUUUAGGGUAAAGGCUGGAAAGUUCCUAAGAUAUAUCAUCUUAGAAAGGGGUAUAGAAGUGAAUACUGAGAAAAUCAGCGCUAUCCAAAACAUGGAAGCACCCAAAACUAUCAACGGAAUACAGAGGUUAAAUGGGUGAGUCAUUGCCCUAGGACGAUUCAUAUCAUUCUCGGUCAGAAGGUGUCUCCCAUUCUUUAAAGUCUUAAAAGGCAAAUGUAAGUUUGAAUGGGGGAAGAGUGUGCAGACACUCAGUCCGACGUCAAGACUCACCCUUCCCUCAAAUGGGCAAGUCUCGGCACAAGGUUACUAUUAACAUACAUAAUCCAGUAUAUACCCAUUGCACCUAUAAUCGUGGGAUUGUCAACUUAUUAGCUGGCAAUAUCCCUUAUUAAGCAGACAGCCACAUCAUCGCUGAAUUAUUAGAAAAUUCUAUAUUUAUCACCAUCUUCCUACAAUAUAAAAGAAGAACGAUCACAGCGGCAAAUGUACGUUAAUAAGCAAUUUCUUGCAUUCUUUAUACUCGUUGAUACUGACUUGAGUGUCGGAGUGACUACCGUGGGCACCCACUACCACCUCAUGUUUUCUUUCUUACAGGUUCUAGCCAAUCACAACUCAGUCCCAUUUCGAACACAUCAUCAAUCUAAACUCAACAAUAUCAAUUUUAAUAGAUUUUACAAAAUCAAUAGAGACCCAUUAAAUAUAAAACAUUCAAAGGUUCAAAUUAACAGAAAAACUAAUUAGUAGAUUUUUUUAAAAAUUUUAGUGAUAUUUUUAUGUAUUUUUCAAAAUCAAUAGAGAUCCAUUAAAUAUAAAACAUUCAAGAGUUCAAACUAACAAAAUAACUAAUUAGUAGAUUUUUUUUUAAAUUUUAGUGAUAUUUUUAUAUAUUUUUUAAAAUCAAUAGAAACCUAUUAAUAAGCUCCCUUAUACCAUAGAAAUAAAAUGCAUCUGACUCGGUUAUUUUCAACAACGAUAACUAAACAACGUAGAUAUUACCUGUAACGACCCGAAAACCGGACUACCACCGGCGCUAUGAUCCAGACCGGUUUAAGGCCGCCGAAACCCGUAGCAAGCCUAACAUACAACCUGUAUACCUGAUAAAUCCCAUACAUGAUCAACAUAUACAUAAAACUUAAAACUUUCUCUUUCAUUUACCAAACUCAACCUGUGCAUGCACAACUCAUAAGUAUAACCAUCAACCCCACACUGGAGUCCUCAUCAAUGCUCUAAUGGGGUAACAUAACAUAUAUUAAAUUUGGUUUACAUAAACAUUGUUAAAACAUUUUAUAGAUCAUGUAUCAAAGGGAAUAACCAUACACAUAGGGUCAAGCACAAUUCUAAUCCUCAACAUCAAUAUUACAUGACUAAUCAAUACUUUACAAUUCAUCUAUUUCAAAAAAAAAAAAAAAAAACUUUACAAUUCAUCAUGCCCACAUCUAACUAUUACAUAAACAUAACUUUACUCUUCUUGACCUCUUGGCCUAUCCCGUACCUGCAUACCUGGGGGAUUAGGGAAAUGGGGUGAGCUACUAGAACCCAGUGAGCAGAAUAAUAAAACAGUUAAAACAUAUGCUAUAAUGGAAUGCAUCACAUCACAGACAAAUCACAUCAAGGAUGGACUUGUCACCAGUAGUCCUCUACAUAGUCCAACUGUGCCAGGGGUGUAGAAUGGGCCUCACUGGUCUUUCUCUUACAUUACAUAAUAUAACAUUCCAACUGUGCCAUAGGCGUAGAAUGGGCCUCACUGGUCUUUCUCUUACAUUGUGCCAUGGGCGUAGAAUGGGUCUCACCGGUCUUCCAUACCGUAUCAUCAUCAUAUCAUAUCAUACGAGGACUAAAGGAUCAUCCAACAUCCAUCCACAUCAACAUCAAAUAAUGCAAUGCAACAUAUUCGUGAAUUCUAAUGCAAGCAUCCUAAUGUAUCUCAUGGCAUUCAUGAUGCGUGAAUCAUGUCAAAACUUUCAUUAUUUGCUUUGAAAUGUAAAGAGUCAUUCUACUCACCUCAGGCUAGCUCUGACAAGACACUGAAGCAACUGUCUCACUGCUGGGGUCCUCGGUUCCUCGGGUCCGAACCUACACAGGUGGACUCAAAUGAUGAACCAAACAUACUUGAACAUGACUCUAAAAUACUCCCCAAAAACCCCCUAAAACACAUUAAAACAAUCAUACAAAUCAUGCAAAGGAAGGCUGAACAGGGCACUUUCGGCGGCAGGUUCGGUGGCCAAAAGUCCCUCCAAAGCCGAAAGUCAUGCACCUUCGGCGGCACUUUCGGCGGCCGAAGGUUCCUUCCAGAGAUGAAACUCAUGCAUGUUCGGCGGCACCUUCGGCGGCCGAAACUCCCUUCUAGAGCCGAAAGUCCACUUUCGGGGGCAGGGUUCGGCAGCCAAAGGCUUGCCUCCACAGGCAGGUUCGGCGGCCGAAAGUCCCUUCGGCUGCCGAACCUGAGUUCUUCCAAAGGGCAGAACUCAGCCUCCACAAUGCACAUUUGUCUCCCAAACCAUUAAAUCAUGCAUUUACCUAUUCUACAACAAGCAAACUCAAGCCAACAAGUAUAUAGGGGUCUCAAACUAACCUAAACCCCAACUAAAACACAUCAAACAUACAUAUACAACACACAUUGCCCAUAUGCUCAUCAUUAAUAAAAAAACUCAAUAUUAACCUAAACAUGCAUUUCUACCCCAUAAACUUUCAUAAAACUUGUUUAAAACAUGAAAUGAGCUAAGGAUCUACUCUUACCUCUUGAAGAUCGAGAGGAGAGGCGAUCCAACUCGGAGAUAGGAGAGAUCGAGCUCCUUGGGUCUCCAAGCUCUAAAACUUGCUCUUUUGCUCAAAUGUCUUCAAACCAAGAUAAAACUUAUUAAAACUCGAAAGAUUUGAGGAAAAACACCAAAAAUCAACCAUGGGAGAGCAUGGACUCACCGUUGGCCGAAAAUGGGGAGAAAGCUCGCCCGUUUCGGCCAUGGAGCCCUUAUAUAGGGGCUGGCCAGACCACCCUUCGGCAGCCUAAAGUGCCUUCAAAACUCAUGCAAGUUCGGCGGCCAAACAUAGGGUUCGGCGGCCGAACCUGAGCCACUUUCGGAAGCCUAACUUGCUCCCCUAAACUAUCCCAUGUUCGGCGGCCGAACCUGGAAAUGUCUCCAUGGUCUUUUUCAUUAAAAACUCAGUUUCUUUCUUACUUAAAAAUCAUAAAAUACAUUAAAACAUUUUAUAAAAACAUUAUUUUACCGUUCUAGAGGUUUCCGACAUCCGAGAUUCCACCGGACGGUAGGAAUUCCGAUACCGGAGUCUAGCCUGGUAUUACAUUAUCAUUCAAAUAUAAAACUUACAUGUUGAUAACAGUCAUACCAAUGAUUUAAUUCUAAUUCAAUAGGUUGCAAAUACUUAAUUAUAUUUAAGAUAAAAAUAAAAAAAUCAAAAUUUUAAAAUUUAGAGACAGAAUGGCCGGUUAUUUUUAAGAACAAUAGCUAAAAAAAAUUUGAUAUUACUAUUUGAAUUUAAAACCGACACGUUGAUACUCAAAAUUUUAAUAGCCAUAUAAAAGAUAUUUUAAAAGGUAUUUAAUCUUCAUUUCUGUCAACUCCCAUCAUCUUUCUUUAGCUGAAUGCAUUUAUUUCUCUGAUACUCUCUUUGCAAUUAUGAAGUAUGGCUAAACAAUAUUCUAUUUAUAUUGAACCUAAUGCUUUAAUAGUUUGGCUUAUGGGGAAAUACACUUUAAAACUUUUGACAUGUUAAUUUUUUUUAAAAUAGAGGACUAAAAAUUUGAGAGUAGAAUUCGAGACUUUUCAAAUGCACUUUAUCAUCGGAUUAAGUCUGUAAAUACGACACGUUAACUUUUAUCAAUUCAAUUUUUACCCAUACUAUUAUUUGCGAAUAGAAAAAAUAUUAUUUUUAUUUUUUAUAUGAUUUUUUGAACUUAAAUCGUGUUCUCUUUUAACUAUAUUGAAUAAGGAACACGGAAAAUAAAAAUAAAAAUAAAAAAUAAAAACCAAAUGCCACACGAUCAAAAGAAAAUGUUAAAAUUAAAUCAAAACGUGGGAAUAUCAAUGGAAUAUUUGAAUCUUUUGUGUAAUAAACAAGUAAUCUGAAGGGCAAUUUUGGUAACAUGUGCAGUAUUUGUAUGGUCUUGGAGUAAUAAAAUUCAACAUAAACUCUCACACUCAAAGCAAUUUUGAUAACAUAUCCAGUAUUUAUAUGGUCUUGGGGUAAUAAAAUUCAACAUAAACUCUCACACUCAAAGCCGCUUGUUUGCUCUAAAGAAGACUCGCCAUUAAUGGAAGCCAAAGAUUUUAUCCACCUCUUUAAUUCCUGCUGGUUUGAGAUGGAAAUUCUCAAGAAUCAAUCACGUUUAUUGAAAUCAUCAGAUGCUGAUGCCAACCCAGUUCACCAAAAUCAGGAAGAAGCAUCAAAACCAGAGCUUUACAGAGUGCCAACGAUUAUUUC